rnacentral:rRNA from 1 species
GAUUGCGUCUCCCUUAUCUUAACACCCGUUCCCAUCCCGAACACGGAAGUGAAGCUCUUUUGCGCUGAUGGUAGUACAAUACGUGCGAGAGUAGGUCUUGCCAAGCU